rnacentral:lncRNA from 1 species
ACUUAGGAUUUAACUAUCAAUCCUAAUUAAGUCAGCUACAUUGUAUUUCAACCUUUCAAAUCUAUCUCAUGGAUUAUCCUGACCAAAGUUUUGCUAAAUUGAAAUACAUUGAUGCAUAUCUCCUACCAAUUCAGAGGGAUCAAUUUCAUUUUGACUCACACACCGACUUGAUAAGUACUUCACUACACCUAGUAUCCUUCCAUCACUAAGUUAGAAACUCAGAUAGUUUAGUACUAAAGUACAGUGAGUUACAUACAAGUCAUCGUGGUGGUCUC